rnacentral:tRNA from 1 species
GCGGUCGCGUAGUUUAGUGGUAAAACUCCAGCUUCCCAAGCUGGUGUCGCGAGUUCGAUUCUCGUCGACCGCU